rnacentral:rRNA from 1 species
UACAGAGGUCUCAAGCGUUGUUCGGAUUCAUUGGGCGUAAAGGGUGCGUAGGCGGCGCGGUAAGUCGGGGUGUGAAAUCUCGGAGCUUAACUCCGAAACUGCAUUCGAUACUGCGGUGCUUGAGGACUGGAGAGGAGACUGGAAUUCAUGGUGUAGCAGUGAAAUGCGUAGAGAUGUGGAGGAACACCGAUGGCGAAGGCAGCCUCCUGGGCCAGCACUGACGCUCAUGCACGAAAGCGUGGGGAGCAAACAGG